rnacentral:lncRNA from 1 species
CGCAAAUAUACGCAGACUCCAGGGCAUAGCUAAAUUUAUUUAUAAAAACAAAAAGAUUGGUUAUUCUCAGCAAAAGAAAAUGUCACCAAAGGGAUCAAACUGUCUCCUCCUCUGCCCAGUCUGAUGUAACCAAAGAUGUUUUAAGAGACAUGGGAGGUGGAAGUGACUUGCCCGAUAUUAGUAAAGAAGACACAACAAAUGGAAGUUUUAACGACCUUGACUGGCUAUGCAGCCCUUGCACGGUCGGAAAGACAACACAUUUGUAAAAAGAAUGUCAGUUUCACAAGAACUUAGACUUUCAACUCAGCUAAACCUGCCCUUUUUAGCUUACCAGGCUGGG